rnacentral:rRNA from 1 species
GAUGAACGCUGGCGGCGUGCCUAAUACAUGCAAGUCGAGCGAACAGAUGAGGAGCUUGCUCCUCUGACGUUAGCGGCGGACGGGUGAGUAACACGUGGAUAACCUACCUAUAAGACUGGGAUAACUUCGGGAAACCGUAGCUAAUACCGGAUAAUAUAUUGAACCGCAUGGUUCAAUAGUGAAAGACGGUUUUGCUGUCACUUAUAGAUGGAUCCGCGCCGCAUUAGCUAGUUGGUAAGGUAACGGCUUACCAAGGCAACGAUGCGUAGCCGACCUGAGAGGGUGAUCGGCCACACUGGAACUGAGACACGGUCCAGACUCCUACGGGAGGCAGCAGUAGGGAAUCUUCCGCAAUGGGCGAAAGCUUGACGGAGCAACGCCGCGUGAGUGAUGAAGGUCUUCGGAUCGUAAAACUCUGUUAUUAGGGAAGAACAAAUGUGUAAGUAACUAUGCACGUCUUGACGGUACCUAAUCAGAAAGCCACGGCUAACUACGUG